UACGUAGGGGGCAAGCGUUGUCCGGAUUUAUUGGGCGUAAAGAGCGCGUAGGCGGUCCGGUAAGUCCGCUCUGAAAGUCCGGGGCUCAACCCCGGGAGGCGGGCGGAUACUGUCGGGCUAGAGUCCGGAAGAGGCGAGUGGAAUUCCUGGUGUAGCGGUGAAAUGCGCAGAUAUCAGGAGGGACACCAAUGGCGAAGGCAGCUCGCUGGGACGGUACUGACGCUGAGGCGCGAAAGCGUGGGGAGCAAACAGG
rnacentral:rRNA from 1 species